rnacentral:rRNA from 1 species
UACAGAGGUGGCAAGCGUUGUUCGGAAUUACUGGGCGUAAAGGGCGCGUAGGCGGCCUACUAAGUCAGACGUGAAAUCCCCCGGCUUAACCUGGGAACUGCGUCUGAUACUGGAAGGCUUGAGGAUGGGAGAGGGAUGUAGAAUUCCAGGUGUAGCGGUGAAAUGCGUAGAUAUCAGGAGGAAUACCGAUGGCGAAGGCAGGUCUCUGGGCUGACACUGACGCUCAUGCACGAAAGCGUGGGGAGCAAACAGG